UUUGGUUAAGUUAGAAAGGGCGCACGGUGGAUGCCUUGACACUAGGAGUCGAUGAAGGACGGGACUAACGCCGAUAUGCUUCGGGGAGCUGUAAGUAAGCUUUGAUCCGAAGAUUUCCGAAUGGGGAAACCCACCAUACGUAAUGGUAUGGUAUCCUUAUCUGAAUACAUAGGGUAAGGAAGACAGACCCAGGGAACUGAAACAUCUAAGUACCUGGAGGAAGAGAAAGCAAAUGCGAUUUCCUGAGUAGCGGCGAGCGAAACGGAACAUAGCCCAAACCAAGAGGCUUGCCUCUUGGGGUUGUAGGACAUUCUAUACGGAGUUACAAAGGAACGAGGUAGACGAAGCGACCUGGAAAGGUCCGUCGUAGAGGGUAACAACCCCGUAGUCGAAACUUCGUUCUCUCUUGAAUGUAUCCUGAGUACGGCGGAACACGUGAAAUUCCGUCGGAAUCUGGGAGGACCAUCUCCCAAGGCUAAAUACUCCCUAGUGAUCGAUAGUGAACCAGUACCGUGAGGGAAAGGUGAAAAGCACCCCGGAAGGGGAGUGAAAGAGAUCCUGAAACCGUGUGCCUACAAAUAGUCAGAGCCCGUUAACGGGUGAUGGCGUGCCUUUUGUAGAAUGAACCGGCGAGUUACGAUCCCGUGCGAGGUUAAGCUGAAGAGGCGGAGCCGCAGCGAAAGCGAGUCUGAAUAGGGCGUUUAGUACGUGGUCGUAGACCCGAAACCAGGUGAUCUACCCAUGUCCAGGGUGAAGUUCAGGUAACACUGAAUGGAGGCCCGAACCCACGCACGUUGAAAAGUGCGGGGAUGAGGUGUGGGUAGCGGAGAAAUUCCAAUCGAACCUGGAGAUAGCUGGUUCUCCCCGAAAUAGCUUUAGGGCUAGCCUUAAGUGUAAGAGUCUUGGAGGUAGAGCACUGAUUGGACUAGGGGUCCUCAUCGGAUUACCGAAUUCAGUCAAACUCCGAAUGCCAAUGACUUAUCCUUAGGAGUCAGACUGCGAGUGAUAAGAUCCGUAGUCAAAAGGGAAACAGCCCAGACCGCCAGCUAAGGUCCCAAAGUGUGUAUUAAGUGGAAAAGGAUGUGGAGUUGCUUAGACAACUAGGAUGUUGGCUUAGAAGCAGCCACCAUUUAAAGAGUGCGUAAUAGCUCACUAGUCGAGUGACUCUGCGCCGAAAAUGUACCGGGGCUAAAUACACCACCGAAGCUGCGGAUUGAUACCAAUGGUAUCAGUGGUAGGGGAGCGUUCUAAGGACAGUGAAGUCAGACCGGAAGGACUGGUGGAGUGCUUAGAAGUGAGAAUGCCGGUAUGAGUAGCGAAAGACGGGUGAGAAUCCCGUCCACCGAAUGCCUAAGGUUUCCUGAGGAAGGCUCGUCCGCUCAGGGUUAGUCAGGACCUAAGCCGAGGCCGACAGGCGUAGGCGAUGGACAACAGGUUGAUAUUCCUGUACCACCUCUUUAUCGUUUGAGCAAUGGAGGGACGCAGAAGGAUAGAAGAAGCGUGCGAUUGGUUGUGCACGUCCAAGCAGUUAGGCUGAUAAGUAGGCAAAUCCGCUUAUCGUGAAGGCUGAGCUGUGAUGGGGAAGUUCCUUAUGGAGCGAAGUCUUUGAUUCCCCGCUGCCAAGAAAAGCUUCUAGCGAGAUAAAAGGUGCCUGUACCGCAAACCGACACAGGUAGGCGAGGAGAGAAUCCUAAGGUGUGCGAGAGAACUCUGGUUAAGGAACUCGGCAAAAUGACCCCGUAACUUCGGGAGAAGGGGUGCUUUCUUAACGGAAAGCCGCAGUGAAUAGGCCCAAGCGACUGUUUAGCAAAAACACAGCUCUCUGCGAAGCCGUAAGGCGAAGUAUAGGGGGUGACACCUGCCCGGUGCUGGAAGGUUAAGGAGAGGGGUUAGCGUAAGCGAAGCUCUGAACUGAAGCCCCAGUAAACGGCGGCCGUAACUAUAACGGUCCUAAGGUAGCGAAAUUCCUUGUCGGGUAAGUUCCGACCCGCACGAAAGGUGUAACGAUUUGGGCACUGUCUCAACCAGAGACUCGGUGAAAUUAUAGUACCUGUGAAGAUGCAGGUUACCCGCGACAGGACGGAAAGACCCCGUGGAGCUUUACUGUAGCCUGAUAUUGAAUUUUGGUACAGUUUGUACAGGAUAGGCGGGAGCCAUUGAAACCGGAGCGCUAGCUUCGGUGGAGGCGCUGGUGGGAUACCGCCCUGACUGUAUUGAAAUUCUAACCUACGGGUCUUAUCGACCCGGGAGACAGUGUCAGGUGGGCAGUUUGACUGGGGCGGUCGCCUCCUAAAGUGUAACGGAGGCGCCCAAAGGUUCCCUCAGAAUGGUUGGAAAUCAUUCGUAGAGUGCAAAGGCAUAAGGGAGCUUGACUGCGAGACCUACAAGUCGAGCAGGGACGAAAGUCGGGCUUAGUGAUCCGGUGGUUCCGCAUGGAAGGGCCAUCGCUCAACGGAUAAAAGCUACCCCGGGGAUAACAGGCUUAUCUCCCCCAAGAGUCCACAUCGACGGGGAGGUUUGGCACCUCGAUGUCGGCUCAUCGCAUCCUGGGGCUGUAGUCGGUCCCAAGGGUUGGGCUGUUCGCCCAUUAAAGCGGUACGCGAGCUGGGUUCAGAACGUCGUGAGACAGUUCGGUCCCUAUCCGUCGUGGGCGUAGGAAAUUUGAGAGGAGCUGUCCUUAGUACGAGAGGACCGGGAUGGACGCACCGCUGGUGUACCAGUUGUUCUGCCAAGGGCAUAGCUGGGUAGCUAUGUGCGGAAGGGAUAAGUGCUGAAAGCAUCUAAGCAUGAAGCCCCCCUCAAGAUGAGAUUUCCCAUAGCGUAAGCUAGUAAGAUCCCUGAAAGAUGAUCAGGUUGAUAGGUUCGAGGUGGAAGCAUGGUGACAUGUGGAGCUGACGAAUACUAAUAGAUCGAGGACUUAACCAUAUAA
rnacentral:rRNA from 1 species